rnacentral:rRNA from 1 species
CAAUAGCGUAUAUUAAAGUUGUUGCAGUUAAAAAGCUCGUAGUUGAAUUUCUGGGCGGCCCGCCGGUCUUCCAUGUGUUGUACUGGGCGGCGCCGGCCAUCCUUGUGGAGAGGGCUCGCAUUUGGUUGCGUGUCGGAUCUGCAUCAUUUACUGUGAAAAAAUUAGAGUGUUUAAAGCAGGCUGUCGCUUGAAUACAUUAGCAUGGAAUAAUAAGAUAGGACUUCGGUCUAUUUUGUUGGUUGCGAACCGAGGUAAUGAUUAAUAGGGAUAGUUGGGGGUAUUCAUAUUUAAUUGUCAGAGGUGAAAUUCUUGGAUUUAUGAGAGAUGAACAACUGCGAAAGCAUUUACCAAGGAUGUUUUCAUUAA